rnacentral:rRNA from 1 species
GACGAAGGGGGCUAGCGUUGUUCGGAAUUACUGGGCGUAAAGCGCGCGUAGGCGGUCUUUCAAGUCAGGAGUGAAAGCCCACGGCUCAACCGUGGAGGGUCAUUGGAAACUGGGGGACUUGAGUACAGAAGAGGAAAGCGGAAUUCCACGUGUAGCGGUGAAAUGCGUAGAGAUGUGGAGGAACACCAGUGGCGAAGGCGGCUUUCUGGUCUGUAACUGACGCUGAGGCGCGAAAGCGUGGGGAGCAAACAGG